rnacentral:siRNA from 1 species
GAAGCUCCUACUCGACCUCUUGGU